AUGCUCUCUUUGGCAGCACAUAUACUAAAAAUUGGAACAAUAUAGAGAAGAUUAGCAUGGUCCCUGCACAAGGAUGAUAUGCAAAAGUGUUCCAUAUUUUU
rnacentral:snRNA from 1 species